CGGACAGAAUGGUGAGAAAGCUAGGGUGCGGAGAAAAACCUUCCUCACGCGAAGCAGCAUGCUUGAAUGGAAAACUGGAAGUACAAAUCAUAUGUCCGUAGAAGAUGAAGUAAAGUUUUGAUUUGGGAUGAAACAGGUACCUGGGACAGAAGGAGGAAGAGGAAUAAGACAUUAAACUAUACACAACAAUCAGAUAAAACUUAUAAGAUAAGAGAUUAUAUACAGAAGAAAACAUCAUUGUUAACUGAUUUCUAUAGUUCUGACAUAGAAAAGAGAGUGUUCUUCAGCAUGAAGUCUCCAUUAAUACUUUUUUCAGCAUCUUGAGGGAAUAUUCUUGUGGAGAGGCUGAGCAGCUGGGAAGGGUUUGGGAAGAAACGCUGGGAGAAGAAAUUACAGCUGAAACUUGGGAAGACUUCUGUGAUAAUGCAAAGAAGAUUUCAAUUUGCAAUAGAACUAAAGUAUUGCAAGUCAAAAUUCUGCCUAGAGCCCAUUUGACUCCAGAUCGUCUCUCAAAAUUUAAAACGGGUUUCUCCAAUGUUUUCUAAAUGUAAAGUAAAUACUGGAACUUUCAACCACUGUUUUUGGACUUGUCCCAAACUUCAGGCAUACUGGAGUGAUAUUUUGGGUGAAAUGGAAAAGAUUCUGAAGAUGGAGCUUGAACUGGACCCAGUGUCUUUUCUCUUAGGCUUACCCAGUAGUUGUAUUAUUAAUGCACAUCAGAAAAAACUUUUUAACAUCCUGACUUUUUGUGCGAGUAAGAACAUUUUACUUUGUUGGAUUUCCAAUAAGGCCCCUGGACUUUUUGGUUGGUAUAAAUUAAUCAUGGAAUACAUUCCUCUGGACUUUUAGAAAUGUAUGGUACACUCAAAAACAAAUGGUUUUCAUAAAACAUGGCUACCUUUUCUGCAGUAUAUAGAUGUAAACCUGUCUGCUAUACUAAUAAGGGCUUUUGUAUAGGAUGUUGUGGUGAUGUCUGUACUUUGAUGGAAGUGUUCUGAUACCUGAUAUCUGUGAGGGGAAGAAGUGUAAAUGUAAAUGUAUCUGGAAAUUGAAAGUUUUGUUAUGCUGAGCAAAAAAAAAUACAAUAACAUUUAAAAAAUAAUAAUAAUUCAAUCUCGUAAGGCACGACCUGCCUUUAACAAAGCCAUGCUGACUAUUUCU